UGCGUAGGCGGAUUAAUAAGUCAGUGGUGAAAACCUGCAGCUUAACUGUAGACUUGCCAUUGAUACUGUUAGUCUUGAGUACGGUCAAGGUAGGCGGAAUGUGUAAUGUAGCGGUGAAAUGCUUAGAUAUUACACAGAACACCGAUUGCGAAGGCAGCUUACUGGACCAUUACUGACGCUGCGGCACGAAAGCGUGGGGAGCGAACAGGAUUAGAUACCCUGGUAGUCC
rnacentral:rRNA from 1 species